UUUUAGCAUGGAAUAAUGGAAUAGGACGUGUGGUUCUAUUUUAUUGGUUUCUAGGACCGCCGUAAUGAUUAAUAGGGAUAGUCGGGGGCAUCAGUAUUCAAUUGUCAGAGGUGAAAUUCUUGGAUUUAUUGAAGACUAACUACUGCGAAAGCAUUUGCCAAGGAUGUUUUCAUUAAUCAGUGAACGAAAGUUAGGGGAUCGAAGACGAUCAGAUACCGUCGUAGUCCUAACCAUAAACUAUGCCGACUAGGGAUCGGGCGAUGUUAUCUUUUUGACUCGCUCGGCACCUUUCGAGAAAUCAAAGUUUUUGGGUUCUGGGGGGAGUAUGGUCGCAAGGCUGAAACUUAAAGAAACUGACGGAAGGGCACCACCAGGAGUGGAGCCUGCGGCUUAAUUUGACUCAACACGGGGAAACUCACCAGGUCCAGACACAAUAAGGAUUGACAGAUUGAGAGCUCUUUCUUGAUUUUGUGGGUGGUGGUGCAUGGCCGUUCUUAGUUGGUGGAGUGAUUUGUCUGCUUAAUUGCGAUAACGAACGAGACCUUAACCUGCUAAAUAGCCCGGCUAGCUUUGGCUGGUCGCUGGCUUCUUAGAGGGACUAUCGGCUCAAGCCGAUGGAAGUUUGAGGCAAUAACAGGUCUGUGAUGCCCUUAGAUGUUCUGGGCCGCACGCGCGCUACACUGACAGAGCCAACGUGUUCAUCACCUUGGCCGAAAGGUCUGGG
rnacentral:rRNA from 1 species